rnacentral:rRNA from 1 species
CCUACGGGAGGCAGCAGUGGGGAAUAUUGGGCAAUGGAGGAAACUCUGACGCAGCAACGCCGCGUGAAUGAUGAAGGUUUUCGGAAUGUAAAGUUCUUUUCUAAGGGAAGAAGAUAGUGACGGUACAUUAGGAAUACGCCUCGGAUAACUACGUGCCAGCCGCCGCGGUAAUACGUAGGAGGCCAGCGUUAUCCGGUAUGACUGGGCGUAAAGGGAGCGUAGGAGGCAUGACAAGUUGGUGACGUAACCCCGGGGCUCAACCUCGGCACUACUACCAAAACUGUCGGACUUGAGUGCAGGAGGGGCAAAUGGAAUUCCUAGUGUAGCGGUGGAAUGCGUAGAUAUUAGGAGGAACACCAGUGGCGAAGGCGAUUUGCUGGACGAUAACUGACACUGAGGCACGAAAGCGUGGGGAGCAAACAGGAUUAGAUACCCCAGUAGUC